AUGAGUAUAAGUUAGUAGAUCAGGUAGCUGCAGGAUUUGAAUCAUCCCUCUGUUGGUGGUGUACAGUAAACAAAAAUGUUGAUCGUAUUAAUUACAUACAUUACAACAUCCAAAGGCUAGGCAAUUGGACUCAGCAGGGUUUUGAAGCUGUACAUGGUCAACUGGCUGCAACCAGCCUGAUGGCUUUCCAAAAUCGUAUUGCCAUUGAUAUGUUACUCUCUGAGAAGGGCGGAGUUUGCUCUAUGUUUGGUGACCAGUGUUGUACUUUCAUCCCCAAUAACACAGCUUCGGACGGUAGCUUGUCGGCCGCUUUGGAGGGUCUGCGGACGCUUAAUGGUAAAAUGAAAUCUCAUUCUGGGAUAGAUUCCUCGAUGUGGGACUCCUGGAUGAGUGCGUUUGGUAAAUAUAAAACCCUGGUUUCCUCCAUUUUGGUCUCCAUUUCGGUGUUUGCUGCCAUCUUAGUUCUCUGUGGAUGCUGUUGCAUUCCAUGUAUCCGGUCCCUUACUACUAGAGUUAUCUCUAAAGCUAUUUACCCUGCCUCCCCUUCCCAGAUGUAUCCUCUGCUUGCUAAUGACCUGCCAGAGUUUGAGGAUGAGGUGGAGAAUACCCUUUAGAGAGUGUCACAUCUCUUUGGAGAUGUGAAGAGAGGGUAUCACAACUUUUUCCGGCUGGAAAAAGUUGGCUUAUGUAGAAUAUAAUUUUUACUUUCAUUUUGAGCUGUUGUUCUCCGCUCUGUUACAUGAGGGUUGUAAGUUCCUAGGUAACUUAGUACAUAGUGGGAUUGAGUGGAGAACAUGGUGGGAAUACAUAUACAUCCAUUUCUUUUUAAUGUUGUGCCUUUUUCAUAGCCCCUUUGGGAAAAGUUUUCUUUUGUAUCAGAAUCUAGUUAGGUUGUGUCACGUCUCUGGGGAGACGUGAAGAGAGGGAUUUGUAGAGGACUGCUAAUUCCUAUGUAGGUGACAUUACACUACUAUAGCUGAGACAACGUAUUUUCAUAGUAAAACAGGUUGGGCCCCAUACAGGAUAUUUCUCACACACACACACUCACUCAAAUCAUCCAGAACACUGUCACAACAGGAUACUCCUAGCCACAGGUGCUAGCCGGCAGUUCGGCCACAACUCCCCUGAAGAUGGGGACGCACACACAUUACACACUGACCCCAGAAGACAGGGACGACGCACAUACAGUACACACAUAGCUGCCGAGGACACCCAGAUAAGACACCCACAGAUUGGCAGAAAGCCUAGACUUAGAGACAAACUAGCACACACACAUAAUCUCCCUCCCAGCCGAACAUUGUGUGACUGAAGAUAGGGCACACACCAGAUCUCCUUUUCAGCUGAACAUGGUGUGACGACCAAGAACAGGCAUGGCAGGAUUCUACGAUGACGGACAGACAACAGAGCCAAUGCCGGAUGACUACACCCCAGCCUGAUCCAAUCCGAAGAUCCGAUCUCCUAGAAAUCAACCUACUUUCUGUUGUGUAUAUGAAGCUUGUACUCACUGUUAGCAAGGUUCCUUUUUGCUAGUCUCUGAUGAGCUAACAGAGGGGCCCGUAUAUACGCUGUACCAGAUAUCUUCACUCUGAAUAAACCUGUCGCUUGUCGUACAAUCUA